AGAACGAACGCUGGCGGCAUGCCUAAUACAUGCAAGUCGAACGAACUCUUCGGAGUUAGUGGCGCACGGGUGCGUAACGCGUGGGAAUCUGCCCCUUGGUUCGGAAUAACAGUUGGAAACGACUGCUAAUACCGGAUGAUGACGAAAGUCCAAAGAUUUAUCGCCAAGGGAUGAGCCCGCGUAGGAUUAGCUAGUUGGUGAGGUAAAGGCUCGCCAAGGCAACGAUCCUUAGCUGGUCUGAGAGGAUGAUCAGCCACACUGGGACUGAGACACGGCCCAGACUCCUACGGGAGGCAGCAGUAGGGAAUAUUGGACAAUGGGCGAAAGCCUGAUCCAGCAAUGCCGCGGGAGUGAUGAAGGCCUUAGGGUUGUAAAGCUCUUUACCCGAGAUGAUAAUGACAGUAUCGGGAGAAUAAGCCCCGCUAACUCCGUGCCAGCAGCCGC
rnacentral:rRNA from 1 species